rnacentral:rRNA from 1 species
CCUACGGGAGGCAGCAGUGAGGACUAUUGGUCAAUGGGCUUACGCCUGAACCCGCCAAGUCGCGUGAGGGAAGACUGCCCUAUGGGUUGUAAACCUCUUUUGUCAGGGAGCAAUUGGCGCUACGUGUAGCGUUAUCGAGAGUACCUGAAGAAAAAGCAUCGGCUAACUCCGUGCCAGCAGCCGCGGUAAUACGGAGGAUGCGAGCGUUAUCCGUAUUUAUUGGGGUUAAAGGGUGCGUAGGCGGAAUGCCAAGUCAGCGGUAAAAUCGCGGGGCUCAACCUCGCUCCGCCGUUGAAACUGGCGUUCUUGAGUGGGCGAGAAGUAUGCGGAAUGCGUGGUGUAGCGGUGAAAUGCAUAGAUAUCACGCAGAACGCCGAUUGCGAAGGCAGCAUACCGGCGCCCAACUGACGCUGAAGCACGAAAGCGUGGGUAGCGAACAGGAUUAGAUACCCUUGUAGUC